rnacentral:rRNA from 1 species
GGGCCCGCACAAGCGGUGGAGCAUGUGGUUUAAUUCGAUGAUACGCGAGGAACCUUACCAGGGCUUAAAUGUAGUGGGACAGGUCUAGAGAUAGACCCUUCUUCGGACUCAUUACAAGGUGCUGCAUGGUUGUCGUCAGCUCGUGCCGUGAGGUGUCAGGUUAAGUCCUAUAACGAGCGCAACCCCUAUCGUUAGUUGCCAGCGGGUAAUGCCGGGAACUCUAGCGAAACUGCCGGUGCAAACCGAGAGGAAGGUGGGGAUGACGUCAAAUCAUCACGGCCCUUACGUCCUGGGCUACACACGUGCUACAAUGGCCGGUACAGAGAGCAGCCACUUCGCAAGAAGGAGCGAAUCUAUUAAAACCGGUCUCAGUUCGGAUCGGAGUCUGCAACUCGACUCCGUGAAGCUGGAAUC